UUACCUGGUUGAUCCUGCCAGUGAUUAUAUGCUUGUCUCAAAGCUUAAGCCAUGCAAGUCUAAGUUCAGACUCGUUCCUUUCGGGGAGCGCGAUCGAGACUGUGAACGGCUCAUUAGUCAGACGAGGUUCCUUGGUUCCUAUCGGGUCCGUAAAAUGGAUAACUGUGGUAAUUCUAGAGCUAAUACAUGCUACGCACGCAACCCCGCUCGAAGGGGUGCAGGUAUUUAUUCUCUACAAUGACCGCCCGAGCUCUUCAAUUGAAUUUUUAAUUCAGGAGAGUGCCGUGGGUAAGUGUUGAAAUCUGAUUAACUUUGUCGAUCACGCAAGUGACUCCAUCAUGAAGUGUCUGUCCCAUCAAUUGACGAUGGUCGGCGCCCUGCCUACCACGGUGACGACGGGUAACGGGGAAUCAGGGUUCGAUUCCGGAGAGGGAGCCUGCGAAACGGCUACCACCUCCAAGGAGGGCAGCAGGCGCGCAACUUACCCAAUCCCGACUCGGGGAGGUAGUGACGAAAAAUAUCGCGGCGGGACUGUAAAUUGGUCACCGCGGGCGGAAUGAGCGCAAUUUAAAAGAGUGUACGAGGAGCUAUUGGAGGGCAAGCCUGGUGCCAGCAGCCGCGGUAAUUCCAGCUCCAAUAGCCUAUAUCGGAGUUGCUGCGGUUAAAAAGCUCGUAGUUGGAUCUCGGAGACGGCACGGUUGGACGCGAUACGCUGCGGGUCCGACCGGCUUGCUAAAUUGGCCGUCCCUAUUCCGCGUUCGGGGCGGUGGGAUACCUUGAUGUAUUCCUCGUUCUUUCGUGAUGAGUUUUCACACGGAAACCCGGCGCAAAUUAUGUCUACCUUGAAAAAAUUAGAGUGCUAAAGGCAGGCGAAUCCCCCGAGCCAGAAUAUUUCGUGCAUGGAAUUAACGGGGAGACUCCGCAGGAGGGUGGUUCGGCCGUCGGGCGACGUCGCUUUCGCUGUCGGCUUUUGCUGCGGAGUUAAGGAUUUCGAGAGGAACGGCGGGGGGCCAGCGUACCGGCCGGGUAGAGGUGAAAUUUUGUGAUCCGCUCGGGACGUCUCGAAGCGAAGGCGCUGGCCCCGGACGUCUUCCUUAAUCCAGAACGAAGGUGGGUGGAGCAAAGACGAUCAGAUACCGUCGUAGUACCGACGGUAAACUCUGCCAACCGGGCCGCGGACGAGGCUCGAGAACAGCGGUUAUGGACCCGUCCGUGGCGGCUUCGGGAAACCUGAGAGUGUACGGGUUCCGGGGGUAGUAUGGUCGCAAGGCUGAAACUUGAAGGAAUUGACGGAAGGGCACCACAAGGAGUGGAGCCUGCGGCUUAAUUUGACUCAACACGGGACAACUUACUCGGUCCGGACAUCGACAGGAUUGACAGAUGCUUGUGCAGUUCUUUCUCGAUUUGAUGGGUGGUGGUGCAUGGCCGUUCGUGGCUGGUGAAGUGAAAAGUCUGGUUUAUUCCGCUAACGGGCGAGGCCUCGCCUCUAAAUAGUCGGUUUACGGUUCUGGUUAAGUCUGCACUCUGGUGCAGCGACAGAAAUGGUGAGUCGAGGCGGUCGUCGCUACUUCUUAGGGGGAUCCCGAGCAAGCUUAAGCUAGGUGAGAGAGAUCAAUAACAGGUCAGUGAUGCCCUUAGAUGUUCGGGGCCGCACGCGCGCUACACUGAAGGCGAGAGCGCGAAUGUUACGGCCAACAAGGCUUGGAACCUGCCCCGAAAGGGUUUUGAUCGAACUUGUUCGAUCUUGGUGGGUUAACCGUGCUAAUCGGUUUCGUGCUGGGGAUCGGGGCUUGUAACUCAGUCCCGUCAACGAGGAAUUCCGAGUAGGCGCCAGUCAACAGCUGGCGCCGAUUAAGUCCCUGCCUUUUGUACACACCGCCCGUCGCUACCUCCGAUAGAAUGUUUAAGCUAGGUCGUUGGACUGAAUGCUCAAAGGCGGAUGCCGCAAGGCCUAUGCUCAUUAAUGUGUUCUGGAAAGGCAGUCGAGCUUACACAUUUAGAGGAAGUAAAAGUCGUAACAAGGUUUCCGUAGGUGAACCUGCGGAAGGAUCAUUA
rnacentral:rRNA from 1 species